AUAAUAGCGCCCUUCAUCGGUCGCUGGCGCUCACCUGACGAGCCCCGGCCUAAGAGGGAACACGGUCGAGCCGUGGCUGCCCCCGCAACUGUAAGCAGCGAGUCCAUGCAAUCCAGGCCACUGAAUUUUUCGGGAAGGCCGCACUGGAUGAUGACCUGCCAGCCAGGAGACCUGCCGAUGAAACCAGUCGCGU
rnacentral:ncRNA from 2 species